UUAAUGAUGGUAACGCUAACUAACUAAAUGCUAAAGUUGGAAAAGCUACUUUGAAAAAUAACUUGUCACCAAUACGCGUUUCUUAGUAAAAUGAAUAAUAAGUAAUGAGUUAUACGUAACGAGUAAAAAGUAACGCGUUACAAAUUAGGAGUUAUUUUCAAUAAAGAAUGACUUUUUUAAUAAUCGAAUAUAACAGAGAUAACGAUCAAUAAAGUAACAGUAUUUGCCAAUCCUGUAAAUAAUAGAGGCUUUAACAUUAUGAUUAUGUAAAACCAAAAUAUGAGUUUUUAUCUCAGAGAUAAGAAUGGUAUAACGUAUCAAUUCGUUUUGUUAAAAUCUAUAUAAGUUUACAGCAGAUUUUGACAACGAAAAUCAUAUACCGAUGUAUUCGUCAUCUACUAGAUCAUAACAACGAAGAUAAUUUGAAACGUUUAUGCAAAUUGUUAACGAUUGGCCAGGAUUUGGAAUUGAAAAGACAGCAGACUAAUAUUGAGUAGCCACCAAUGGACGAUAUGCAACUUGGCAACAGGUCAUCUUAUUUAUGAAGGGUCACUAACUCGUCCAAUAACUCUAAGAUAAUAAAUUCCAACAAAUUUGCAUGCUUAGAGAAUAUGUUCAAUUUAGAUCAAGACAAAAGGAUGCUACCUUUAUCACUUUCUGGAUCAUGAACUGAUCCAAAAGAGUGCAGCCAGGAUUAUAAGUCUUAUGAUAUUUUCCUAUCACGUGCCAUACUUAGCGCCGAGACACUAUCGUGUCUUCAGAUAUACAAAAACGUUUAAAAAUGUUUAAUAUGGCGAGCCAUAGCAAUGUGUCUGGCUACUUGUAGACGCAUUGAUCUC